UUUGCAGGGUUACUUUAGUGCCUUGUUGCAAACAAGAUGCAUGAUUUGGAAUAUUUUUAUUCUGUACAGGCUUCCUUCUUUUAACUCUGUCAAUUAGGUUAGUAUUGUGGAGUAACUACAAUGGUGUUGAUCCAUCCCGAGUUUUCCAUCGAUCACAGCCAUUAAACUCUGUAUUGCAAGGUAUUGGUAAACAUCCCUGGUCUUUGUGGUUGAGUUGGUGUUCAAAAUUCACUGCUCAACUGAGGGACCUUGAUGAUAAUUCUAUCUGUGGGGUACAGCGAUGAGGUAGUCAUGUUAAACACUAUCAUUGUACACAGAGUGAGUCCAUGCAAUUUAUUAUGUGACUUUAUUAUGUACUCAUGAACUUAUGUAGGCUUGCCAUAACAAAAGGAGUUAAAUACUUGUUGUUGUUGUCCAUUUGGACAUCUUAAAUCUAUAUUCUACUUGUCCCAGUAUUUUUGACUGUUUCUUUUACUUUUCCCAGAUGAGAACAAGCGUUAAAGAGCAACUGCUCCUAAAAAGCAACUAAUCCCUUUGAAAACAGCCUAUGUGGUAUUGAUAUGAGUCAGAAACAUUUAUUAUUGUGUCAACAUUGACUACAGUGUAAGUAGGAUCAUUUUAAUCAUAGUCAGUCUCGUCUAAAACAGAGUUUGGAACCCCAUCUUAAAAAUUAAUUAAAAAUGUUAAAUCUUUUCACUGUUUGUUCUUCAUUUAAGAUUAUGGUUAGGCAAAAGUUUAGCCUUGUGGUAAAGGUUAGGUUUAAAAUUAAAUUCUAAUAAGAUAAAUUGUAGAAAUAGGCUGGGUUUCUGACUGUGGCUGUGGUAACGACCUAGAAUUAGCUUGACCCAAGUUAACUACCCUUGUGACACAGACGGCUUCAUCAACAAAUGGUAAUGUGUGUUAUAUAUAAAAAUUUGUAAACCAAAAAUACCCGGUUUGAUAAAGUAGUAAUUACCCAGCCAAGCAGAUACAAGUAGUAGAUCAUUUUGGUUGUGAAGUGAAUUAUCAAAAGCGUUCUCAUUUCUUUAUAACAAAAUGCAAUUAACCCCUUGGCUGUCUAUCGUAUCACCCUGUCACAGGCCCUCCCGGUCAACACCACCUCAUAACAUGAGGAAGUAAACUGUUUAUAAGGAUCGUCUGCUGCAGUUGUUUGAGAAAUGUCCAGUUUGCAGCCGAACAUCCAACACAGAGAAGACCAGCAAGGGGACACUCAGCAUCACGCAGACAUUCCCUCGCUGUGAGCAUUCCUAUAAAACGGAACAGGGAGGACACUUGAAAUCAGGUGCCACCAAACUCCUGUGGUUUGCAUGUGACCGACCAGUAUUUUGACGAGGGUCCAGGAGCUGAUCUACGCUGGCAAAGACCACACCUCCAGCCUCACCUCGUUUGCUCAACAACGUUUGUUGACGGGUAGACAAGAAUUAGAUGCAUCUAUGGAGCCAGCACUUGGAGACUUGCAAGAUGAUGUGCUGGAGUCCUGACCUACAGACAGGCUUGAUACUGACAUCUCUGAAUGGAGAGAAACAUGGCACACGGCAUAAAAAUGUUACUAGACAACUUUUACUUGUAUCGUCUUUUUUUAUUAUUGAAUUAAAAAUGGUACGAGUCAAUAUGGGGAGGGAGAGAGCCUCUGUAU